GAUGAACGCUGGCGGCGUGCCUAACACAUGCAAGUCGAGCGAGAAGUUUGUAAGCCGAUCUUCGGAAAAGCGAGCAAGCGGAAAGCGGCGGACGGGUGAGUAACGCGUAGGCAACCUGCCCCAUACAGAGGGAUACCUUCGGGAAACCGGGAUUAAAACCUCAUAACGCCAUCCAGCCACCUGGUUGGAUGGCCAAAGAUUUAUCGGUAUGGGAUGGGCCUGCGUCUGAUUAGCUAGUUGGUGAGGUAACGGCUCACCAAGGCGACGAUCAGUAGCAGAACUGAGAGGUUCAUCUGCCACAUUGGAACUGAGACACGGUCCAAACUCCUACGGGAGGCAGUAGUGAGGAAUAUUGCACAAUGGGCGAAAGCCUGAUGCAGCAACGCCGCGUGAGUGAUGAAGGCCUUUGGGUCGUAAAACUCUGUCCUUGGGGAAGAAAAAAAUGACGGUACCCUUGGAGGAAGCCCCGGCUAACUACGUGCCAGCCGCCGCCGUAAUAC
rnacentral:rRNA from 1 species